rnacentral:lncRNA from 1 species
GCUUAGGGUUGGAUCAGUAGCUGGAGGUUUCUAUCUCUUGCUUGUGAUAUAGCCUUGCAAUCCCCAAGCUUGAAUAAACAGUAAGCAAGAUCUUGACUAGGCCAGAUAAUUUGAUCCAUCUAACUUAAUAAGAUUAACACUCAGAGAGAGAUUAUCACCAAGGAUUCCAUUGCUCCUACUACUAUUGUCAGUAGAUUGUUUUUCUUCUAUCAUUUUUUUUUAACUGCUUCAAGCCAAUAGAACAAUGUCAGCAACAAAGAUCUCUUAACGGUGACACGCAAGCACGAGAUGAAGAGAUUGUCAAUGUGGUAAAUAGAUAUGUAGAUUUGAAAUGCAACUUGAUGCGAUAUGGGAGACGAGGCUAGAUUGGAGUGUUUUUAGAGGUAAGUAGGAGGAAUAACUCAAAUCCCUAAGGAAUCAUGCUUUGAUAUCAUGUUGAGAAAAAGAAGAAAAAAUGAAAAAUAAUUUCAAUUGCAGAAGUUGUGUUUCUUCCAAUAUAUGGGUUAAAAUUUAAAUACAAUGAGCCACAAAAAAAUGAUAAGUAUGACUAUACAAAAGUGGUAAGUGUGGCUAUACAAAAAUAGUAAACAAUUAUAUAAUAAAAGGAGAGAAAUCAAAAAAAUAUAUUCAAAGAUAGUACUGCUAGAUGUGAUAAAUUUUCUUGAUAGAUUUUCUUAUUUGCCGAGAUCAUAGUUGACCCUUGAUUGUCGGGAUUUUGGCUUGAUUCUAUCUUUUUUGACUUGAUUUUGGCUUGAUUCUAUCUUUUUUGACUUGAUUUUGGCUUGAUUUUGUACUUCUUGACUUGAUUCUCUGAGAUCAUUAUGAUUUUUGGCCUAUUCUGAUAGAUUUGCUUGAGAUUCGUGGGAUUCUAAUAAUUUCUAUUAACAUAUCUUAUCAGAUAUGAUUUGAUUAUGGAUUUUUAAAUUGGAUAACAUGUAUUAUGUGGCUUAUGGUGAUAAGUGGUGGUAGCAAAAAUAGUUAUGUUGAUAUUGUUAAAGUCUGUGAGACAAGUAGUGAUAGCAAAAGCAACCAUGUUGGUAUUGUUGAAGUUGCCAUUGCGAUCCAAAUAUCGAGUUCUAAUAGAGCUCAUAUAUUUGUCUAUAUGUACAAUGAAUUAGUGAAAGUUCUAGAACUCAUCGAACAAUCACCUUCAAAACCACCAACAACCAA